rnacentral:lncRNA from 1 species
CCAAUCCAACAAACAUGUUGAAAUUCAAAUAUUAGGUUGUGGUGUGAAGGAGAGAAACUUGAGGGUAACUAGGCGCGAAUGAAAAACCAAUUCAUAUUCCUUGAUAUAAGUUCGACUCAAGAAAAACUCCAUUGAUGAUCAACAUUUUAGAUGAUCAAAGAGCCAUCUUUUCAGUGAAACUAAUAAUCAAGAACCAUUUUUUCAAUUCCUCCAUCCUCUGUUUCUCAUCCACAGCUCAACCAUUCCAAUCCCUCCCCGACCUCUCAACAUGCAUUGCAUCAUUACAAUCAUGUGCCCGCAAAAAACUUGUCCCAGAAGGCCAACAAUUUCACUCCUACAUGCUCGUCAAUGGCUUCCUUCUC